CGACCUCGGCAACAGAUAUCUCGGCUCUCGCAUCGAUGAAGAACGUAGCAAAAUGCGAUACUAGGUGUGAUUUGCAGAAUCCCGUGAAUUAAUCAUUUUUUUUGCUGACGACGCUCUCUUAUUUGUCA
rfam:Gossypium raimondii Chr09_contig_1026, whole genome shotgun sequence.